CCAGACUCCUACGGGAGGCAGCAGUGGGGAAUAUUGCGCAAUGGGCGAAAGCCUGACGCAGCGACGCCGCGUGGGUGAAGGAGCGUUUCGGCGCGUAAAGCCCUAUCGGCAGGGAAGAAGGAGGACGGUACCUGACUAAGAAGCCCCGGCUAACUACGUGCCAGCAGCCGCGGUAAUACGUAGGGGGCAAGCGUUAUCCGGAUUUACUGGGUGUAAAGGGGGCGCAGACGGCAGCGCAAGCCAGGAGUGAAAGCCCGGGGCCCAACCCCGGGACUGCUCUUGGAACUGCGCGGCUGGAGUGCAGGAGGGGCAGGCGGAAUUCCUGGUGUAGCGGUGAAAUGCGUAGAUAUCAGGAGGAACACCGGCGGCGAAGGCGGCCUGCUGGACCGCGACUGACGUUGAGGCUCGAAAGCGUGGGGAGCGAACAGGAUUAGAUACCCCGGUA
rnacentral:rRNA from 1 species